GAGAGGCAGAGCCAGACCAUCCUCCUGUCCAACCCGAGCAGCGAGGCCUGGACCCUGCAGCCCAUCAUUGAGGGGAAAUACUGGAAAGGGCCUGAAUUUAUCCAUCUGGAGGCCAGGCAAAAAGAAAAGGUCUACCAGGUCACCUACAGACCCCUAACCAUGAGCUCUGAGAACAAGAAGCACCAGGGCUCCAUCUUCUUCCCCCUGCCGGACGGGACAGGCUUACGCUACCACCUGGAAGGAACUGCUGAAGCCCCCAGGUGUUCAGGGGCCAUUUCCCGGCAGGUUCCAUGCAGGAAGUGCCACACGGAGCUCAUCCCUGUGUCCAACUGGCUGCACAGACCACAGAGGUUCCUGGUGGUUAUUGACAUGCUCAAACCAGAG